rnacentral:misc_RNA from 1 species
AAAGAGGGGAAGCGGAGCGAGCAGGGCUGCGAGACGGUGUCGUAUUAAUGUAAUUAUUAUUGUCAUUAUCGUUGCUAGCAUUAGCCAUAGGAACCGAAGAAGCAACCGCAGCUGCACGAUACGAAUAGGCGGUUUGGAUGGGCGUUGAUUGACCGUUGGAUCCGUCUUCAUCUGGCCCUUUUACUCCCUCUUCUCUACCGUUUACAUUUCCCAUCUAUCCUCUCCUUCCCUAAUCUAACUUUCC